rnacentral:rRNA from 1 species
GACGAACGCUGGCGGCGUGCUUAACACAUGCAAGUCGAACGGAAAGGCCUCUUUCGGGGGGUACUCGAGUGGCGAACGGGUGAGUAACAUGUGAGUAACCUGCCUUUGACUUUGGGAUAACUUCAGGAAACUGGGGCUAAUACCGGAUAGGAGCUCCUGCCGCAUGGUGGGGGAUGGAAAGUUUCGGCGGUUGGGGAUGGACUCGCGGCUUAUCAGCUUGUUGGUGGGGUAGUGGCUUACCAAGGCUUUGACGGGUAGCCGGCCUGAGAGGGUGACCGGCCACAUUGGGACUGAGAUACGGCCCAGACUCCUACGGGAGGCAGCGGUGGGGAAUAUUGCACAGUGGGUGGGAGCCUGAUGCAGCAUCGCCGUGUGCGGGAUGACGGUCUUCGGGUUGUAAACCGCGUUCGCUCAUAACGAAGCUUUGUGUGACGUUAGUGGGUAAGUAAGCACCGGCUAACUACGUG